AUUGAACGCUGGCGGCAGGCCUAAUACAUGCAAGUCGAGCGAGAGGCGGACUGGUGAGUGAUGUCUGGGAAACUGCCUGAUGGAGGGGGAUAACUACUGGAAACGGUAGCUAAUACCGCAUACCAUCCGAUGGGCCCAGGGGGGAUUAGCUAGUCGGUGGGGUAAAGGCUCACCAAGGCGUCGCGCCCUAGCUGGUCUGAGAGGCUGACCAGCCAAACUGGAACUGAGACACGGCCCAGACUCCUACGGGAGGCAGCAGUGGGGAAUAUUGCGCAAUGGGCGAAAGCCUGAUGCAGCAAUGCCGCGUGUGUGAAGAAGGCCUUCGGGUUGUAAAACACUGUUAUCGAGGAAGCGUUACCCGCAGAAGAAGCAACGGCUAACUACGUGCCAGCAGCCGCGGUAAUAC
rnacentral:rRNA from 1 species